ACCGGACAUUCAAACUGCAAGGGAGGAAGCACUCCAGCAGGGAUUCUGUCGUUUUAGAGAGUCCCUGUUUCCACCUUGUAUUCCUUUUCACCCAAUAAAACCCUGCUUUACUCACCUUUCAAACCGUCUGCAAGCUUAAACUUUUGUGGCUCUGGGACAAGGACCCCGUCUUUGGCUAAACUAAGAAAAAGUCCUGCAACAUUUCGGUGCCCAACAUGUGGCUCAAGAAGUGAUGCUGACAAAUCCUCAACCGUAUGUCAGAAUCCAUGUUAGAUACUAGGGAUACGAAGAGAUGUCUUCCAUCCCCAGAAAGGAGACAGACAAAGGAACUGAUAGUUGAAACAGCAUAUGUGGAGUUGUUCAGCGUGUCAUGGGAGCACAUACAGAUGAGGAAUGGGAUGCAUAGCAAGUUUAAAUAACUUGCAGAAGGACACACAGUUUGGAAGUGAAGAAGCUCAAAUUCAAAGACUGGCAGUCUGCAUCCAGAGUUGGUCAUCUUAAAUACCAUGCUGAACUGCUUGCUCCCAAAGACUAAACAGUAUUUUUUAUAAGAGGAUAUCCAUUUGUAGGUCAACAAAUUGUUUCUAAUUCUUCUUAAAAUAAAAUACAGUGAACUGAAUAAAGUUUAAUAUAUCAGAGU